CUAUUCACCACAGUCCCCUCCCUUACAUGAGCAGGGAGGUGUUAAGCAAAGAAAGAAACCUUCUUCAAAGAAACCCUCAGUUUAAACAGGAGGGUGUGAUGGGCAAUUGUGGGUAUAAUACACAUUGCUACAUUGUAUUUCUUUAAACUGCAACUGUUUCUUUAACUAAUAACCUUUUACCUAUUUACAGUACACAACAUGUUUACUCCAUCUUGUCUUAAUUUAAUGCAAUAACAAUUCAAGGCUUUGCCUAUGUCAUCCUAACGUCUAGUCCAAAUAAAGAUUAAAGAUGUCUAGGUUAUGACAUUAGACUUAUUUUUUAUAUAUGACCUUCUCUUAACCCUAAAGUGUAUGUCAACCUAACUUCUAGUCCAAAUACAGAUUAAAGAUGUCUAGGUUAUGACAUUAGACUGAUAAGGGUGUUUUUCUUUUAUUUUUAUAUAUGAACUGCUUUUAACCCUAAGAUGAAUUAACCCAUACAUUACCAGUAGUAAUUAGAAAUGCUAUACUAUAUAUACAUGCAUGAUCAAUGCUAGAUAGAGACAUACUGACCGACUCUGGAGGUGACAUACUGAGAGAUUACCUGUAUAAUCAGGAGGGUAUGUUAUACUAAUUAUAUUGCAAGCAUUUAUUCAUUUAAUCUUAUAUACUCUGCUUUAUGAUAUAUUAAUGGAUCUUUAUUCAUUUAUUCAAUAAACUAUAUUAAUAAG
rnacentral:lncRNA from 1 species